rnacentral:rRNA from 1 species
UACGUAGGGGGCUAGCGUUGUCCGGAAUCAUUGGGCGUAAAGCGCGUGUAGGCGGUCCGGUAAGUCCGCUGUGAAAGUCGGGGGCUCAACCCUCGAAUGCCGGUGGAUACUGUCGGGCUAGAGUGCGGAAGAGGCGAGUGGAAUUCCUGGUGUAGCGGUGAAAUGCGCAGAUAUCAGGAGGAACACCUAUUGCGAAGGCAGCUCGCUGGGACGUAACUGACGCUGAGACGCGAAAGCGUGGGUAGCAAACAGG